AGGAAAUACAGAGAUUCAUCAUUAAUACAGAAGAUAGCAGAAACAAGCAGAGUACAUAAAGCUUUUGCACAAGACGUGUGCACAGAGAGGAAGGGUUCAUACUGAUAUACAUCUCUUAGGGCGGUGAUCAGAAAUUGUAUUGCGACUUGGCCCUAUGAUUUGCAGCUAUAAAUAACUGUUCUUACUUUCAAUGUUCAUGCCUAAGAAAAU